UUCAUUCGUGGCGGGUCACUUUUCUCCAUUUUGGAGAUUGUCUAGCCUUUCGUUAAACGUGGACCAUGCAAACACACGAAACAUACAAUGUCCUACUGUUCACGCUCUCCCUUCAUCUUUGAUUAGUUUGAGGCCUCCAAUUCCUAGCUACUUAUCUAGAGAGGAAAUUAAUUAAGGAAGAUCGAUCGAUCGAUAGAUAGAUAUACGAUGAAGGACCAGCUACUAUUUUCCAGUGAUGAAUCAACAACAGAUCAUCCUGAUGACUAUUCUAAUUCUUCAAGAUCAAUAGCUCCUAAUGAUAAUGAUAGUGAUAAUAACAACUAUUAUUGGUGGAGAUGGGCUGCAGAGUUUGAUCAUGUAAAGAAGAUGCAGAUGAAGCUUGAUCAUGAGCGCCUCAUAUUCCCUGGCGGUGGCAGGGCAUCUAGUCAUUUUACAGCGGCAGCAAGGAUGCGAGUGGUGAGAGAGUUGGAGAGACUGCUUUGGUAUCAACCCAUCAGGAAGGGGUGAAUGAACUUCGGCACAAGCUGCUCAUGUAUCGCUCGGGUGACUUCUGGAUGCCAACAGGAGGUCUCGCUAAGGAAAACAUGGACAUUCCGCCGGUGGCCACAAUUCUCUUGGUUGGCUUCUCUGCUUCUGGUAAAAGCUCUCUUGUCAACCUCAUGUACUCCGUUUUGGGUCGCUCUGGACUCGUACCCUUUGCUCAAACAUCACCACCACCUGGAAGUUUUUCAAAUAAUCCGAAGAGUACUAGUAUGAUUCUGAAAGAGCACAAUGUGCUGAGGUCUUUGCGAAGUGGCUUCUGUGUGUAUGACUCGAGGGGAUUUGACUACAACCGAAUAGGCGAGGGCCUUGAAGAAUUGUCAAGUUGGAUGAGUGAUGGGAUUCACCAUAACCAAGUGUGCUUGAGACCAGGCGAUGACGUCGAAGAAUCUGUGUUGAUGAAUCUUCCUGAUAUGGAUGUGAUUUCAAAGUUUGCGAGGAGGAAAGUCAAUUGUGCAAUGGUGGUGGCUAACAUGGCAGAAAUCUACAAGGCCUUUCAAGCUGGUGAUUCUAAGCCAAUGGACGCCACAAAACAGCUUUUCUGCUCUGUCAAUAAUGCUUUCACCAAUAUUUACAAUGAUGAGAGCACCAUUUUGAUCUUGACACAUGGUGACAUGUUAACAACGGAGGAGAGGAUUGAAGGGCGGCUGAAAAUAUGUGAGUGCCUCGGUGUAUCGGAGACGAGUGGAGUAUACGACAUCGUGACGUGCCUUAGCGAGUAUGGAUUUCUGGCAGAAGAAUCAGACCCGGUUUCAGCCUACGCCCUGAGUGAAGCAGUAUAUAUGGCGUUGCUCCUAUCAGACAGGACCCACUCUCCCAAAAAAACCCUUGGGGACUUGGCAGUGCUUAUAUUGUCCUCCAUCAUGUGCUUUCUAGCUUCUAUAUUUGGUCUCCUUGCUCAGAUUUGCCUCAAACUCGGUCGACACAGCAAAGAUGUAUAGAAUCAAUCAGGUUUAGUGGUGGGGGCUGUUGGAAAGUCACCCAGGCCUAGAGCAAUUUGGUUUUUUUUUUUUUUUUUUUUUUUUUUUUUCAGUAAGGUAAGGAUUAGGAUUCAUUUCAUUUUUUCUAGAAUUCAAGAUUAUUAUCCUGUUUGUUUCAUGUUCAGGCUUUAUAUAUAAUUGCAACUCAGUAGGAAAGAUUAAAUCUUGUAGAGAUGUAGUCCUUUUAUUAUGUAGUUGUCUUGAAAUAAGUUAUCAUAAUUUGUAAUCAGUUUUUCUUCC